rnacentral:rRNA from 1 species
GAUGAACGCUGGCGGCGUGCUUAACACAUGCAAGUCGAACGGGAUCGGCUGGAGCUUGCUCCGGCCGUGAGAGUGGCGAACGGGUGAGUAAUGCGUGACCGACCUGCCCCAUACACCGGAAUAGCUCCUGGAAACGGGUGGUAAUGCCGGAUGCUCCGACAUGACGCAUGUCGUGUUGGGAAAGAUUCAUCGGUAUGGGAUGGGGUCGCGUCCUAUCAGGUAGUCGGCGGGGUAACGGCCCACCGAGCCUACGACGGGUAGCCGGCCUGAGAGGGCGACCGGCCACAUUGGGACUGAGAUACGGCCCAGACUCCUACGGGAGGCAGCAGUGGGGAAUAUUGCACAAUGGGCGCAAGCCUGAUGCAGCGACGCCGCGUGCGGGAUGACGGCCUUCGGGUUGUAAACCGCUUUUGACUGGGAGCAAGCCCUUCGGGGUGAGUGUACCUUUCGAAUAAGCACCGGCUAC